rnacentral:rRNA from 1 species
CCUACGGGAGGCAGCAGUGGGGAAUAUUGGGCAAUGGGCGCAAGCCUGACCCAGCAACGCCGCGUGAAGGAAGAAGGCUUUCGGGUUGUAAACUUCUUUUAAGAGGGAAGAGCAGAAGACGGUACCUCUUGAGUAAGCCACGGCUAACUACGUGCCAGCAGCGGCGGUAAUACGUAGGUGGCAAGCGUUGUCCGGAUUUACUGGGUGUAAAGGGCGUGUAGCCGGGCUGACAAGUCAGAUGUGAAAUCCGGGGGCUCAACCCACGAACUGCAUUUGAAACUGUUGGUCUUGAGUACAGGAGAGGCAGGCGGAAUUCCUAGUGUAGCGGUGAAAUGCGUAGAUAUUAGGAGGAACACCAGUGGCGAAGGCGGCCGGCUGGACGACAACUGACGGUGAGGCGCGAAAGCGCGGGGAGCAAACAGGAUUAGAUACCCGUGUAGUC